rnacentral:lncRNA from 1 species
GAGGAAAUAAGCUAUGAAAGUAAGCAAGAAAUUAAAGUGCAAGAAAUGCAAACUAGGCAGAUCCUAAGAGUGUUUGGGUGACCUCAUUUAAGGUUCCCAACAAAGCACUCACUAUCCUAAGGGAAAAUUGCGUAAAAUUAUUACACACAAAUGGAAGUAGGGUGACCUAUUGGAGGCUCCCAACUUACUUCCAAUGAAAGGCCUUUUUGUCACAGAAUUUGAAA